ensembl:lncRNA
CCAGCUUCAAUUGGGAGCUCUAAAAGGUUAAAUGGUACAAGUUAAUUGGGUGAACUGAAAACGCAUGUUAGCUUAACACACCUAAAACUAACAUAUCAACUUACUAUUUUGAGUCAUGACUAUAACUUCAAUGCUGAUGCAAGUAGUUUUUAUUUGAAAAGCAAACAACGGCUGCAAUAGCACAUUUCCUUUGGACAUUAUACAAAUAUGAAAGUCACUAAAUCAGCAGAACUCUUUUAUUCAGUCAUCACAGGUUUAUAUUCACUAAAUGUGGGCAAACCGGUAGCUUUACCUCCUGGUCUCUGUAUCUCUACCGAGACAUUAAUUCAUUACAUUAAUGAACAUUUAUCUGAAAAGUAACUGUCCAAAAUAUAAAAACGAAAUCAGCACAGAAGUAAAAGUGACUUACUUUCCACCGCUGAUGAAUUUAUUCAACUAUUAAUAUAAAAAGGAAAUACAUAAACAGCUGCGCUCCCAGCCAGGAGUUCUUCCUCCAACAUGCAUGUCAAUAACAGGGAGAACACAUGGGAAUUGUUGCACUUAAAAGCAUCACAUGACAAAGUGCCACAUAAUCUGAUCCCUUUUGGAUGGAAAAGUAACACUGAGGUGCUGACGGGAACAUUUUUCAGACCACAGUACUUUAAGUCCUAAAAAAUGCUUUCUACGUGACCACUGAACAAUGAUUCAACAUUUAUUGUGGCCCAAGUACCGUAUCUACUUUGUGUUCAUUGUGAUUUGCAUAACCUCAGUGGUUGUAUUUACUGUAAAUCAGUUAUUUGUGUGUUGUAAUCCCCCCGGGGACCUUUCCAAAGCAGAGACCCUCCGCUUGGCUUUAGGUGGUGCAACAGUUCAAAUGCAAACUAAUUAACUGCACCGCGCACUUCUCUCUUCUUAUUUUCUACCACAUGACACUCAUCACUAUCCAGCCUCCCUUACAAAUGGUCUCUCUCAGAUCCCCUCGUUGUAGAUUCACAGGAAUGCUCUUUGGCCCUGGUGGGGUUCUUGAAGUUGCCUGCGUGGACGGGUGGGGUUUAAGGCCUGGGUUAGUUGGGGUGAACAGAAGGGGGAGUUGGGGGUCAGUGUGCAGUGGUAGUGCUCUCUGUUCAUAAUAAGAUUAGAGGUUGACCUGCCCACCCCCCCC